AGAGUUUGAUCAUGGCUCAGGACGAACGCUGGCGGCGUGCCUAAUGCAUGCAAGUCGCACGGGCCGUCUUCGGACGGUCAGUGGCGCACGGCUGAGGAACACGUGGGGAUCGACCCGGGCGUGGGGGACAACGCGGGGAAACCCGCGCUAAUCCCGCAUACGCUUCCACAAGGAAAGCGGCUUCGGCCGCGCGCCCGGACGACCCUGCGGCCCAUCAGGUUGUUGGCGGGGUAACGGCCCACCAAGCCCGUGACGGGUCGCUGGUCUGGGAGGAUGACCAGCCAGACUGGGACUGAGACACGGCCCAGACUCCUACGGGAGGCAGCAGCAAGGAAUUUUCGGCAAUGGGCGCAAGCCUGACCGAGCAACGCCGCGUGGGGGAUGACGGCCUUCGGGUUGUAAACCCCUUCUCGGGGGGAUGAUUAUGACCGUACCCCCGGAAUCAGCCCCGGCUAACUCUGUGCCAGCCGCCGCGGUAAUAC
rnacentral:rRNA from 1 species